GGGAGGAGUUAAAGCAAAAAUCAGCAGCUAAUGAGGGGCAAUCUGUAAACCACCAACCACCCCUUCCCCCAACCUUUACUCCUGUUCCAAGUGAAUUUCUGCUGCUAAGUUAUGGGUAGAAGCAAAAAACCACUUUGUGGAGGGAGAGGAAGGAAACCACGUCGCUCUAUGAUAAAAGCCUUGCACCUGGUAAAAAGCAACAGCCUGCUACCACUGCAGGUGGGGCAGGAAGCUUCCAGUUCCCAUUCCCAAGCAAAGAUAAUUUGCAGCUGAGAUUUGCAACAAGGACCCAGCACGGAUACAAAGCAGAGACAGGCUCUCACCACGGCGGGGGAGAGGACGCUCUCACAGGUCCAGAACCUCUCAACAGAUACAAGUCACCAAUGCUGCUCAUUGCAAUGUAUGGAGUGAAAGAGGCUGCCAUCGGUAUCCAGAAGAAGGUGUUACUUCGGUACCCAUACUCAUAAUCCAUAUGCUCCUGAAAUCAUGUGGAACAUGCAACUAGGACCUUCUGAACACGUAGCCUGAUUUACUUAUGAAGAAGCAAAUUCAACCAAGUGAUACGAAUUGUCUAAGGUCAUACAGUUAAUAACUUGUAAGAGCCCAGCACAGCACAGAUUUACAAAAUGAUACACAAAGACCUCAGAGAGUCUUGCUUUGUUGUCCAGGCUGGAAUGCAGUGGCUCAAUUUUGGUUCACUGCAACCUGCACCUCCCAGAUUCAAGUGAUCCUCCUGCUUCAGCCUCCCGAGUAGCUGGGAUUACAGUGGUACAUCCUGUAGUUGAGGGCUUCUUACACCUGAUGAAAUACCAUAGGUUCUGCAUGUCAGAUGGAGUCUCACUCUGUCACCCAGGCUGCAGUCCAGUAGCAUGAUCCCGGCUCACUACAACCUCUGCUUCCCGGGUUCAAGCAAUUCUCCUGCUUGUGAUUUCCUCCAUUUGGAUUAGAUAAGACUGUGCUGCAAUAGGACUUUUUUGGGCUUAGAAUGAGAAAAAAGGAGGGCAUUCUCAACAAGGAAGUCCAUUUCAGAGUGAAAACAUGAAACAGUAAAAUACUUCAGUAGUUGGGCAGAAGACAGAAGAAUAAUGUCUUAACUGGACUGCGGUAGGAUACAAUGAGUUUAUAUCUAGCAGAACCUUUCAUUUAGCAUAUUAUAGUUAUGAUAUCAUAACUAAAAUUAACUUUUCUGAGACAAGGUUCAGUUUCAUGUAGAAAUGAGCAAUUAAAAAAUAAAGAUAUAUUUAUUCC
rnacentral:lncRNA from 1 species